UGGCAAAGACUCUAAAAGUCAAGGCAAGCAGUGUAGGGAUCUCUACCUAUAUGAAGCAUUUAGCCAAGGCUUUCAUAAGCAAUAUUCCAAUGGACAAGAUGGAAAGAUGUGCGUUAGAGAAUAGUACAGGUAGCUGAGAUGUAACUACUUGAGCAAUUGGGCCCAAAGUGGGUUGGCUAUUGGAUGGAAAACAACCUGAUAGUGUGCUAACUGUGAACUGGUGGUGAGUGUUCAGAGAAUGAGGAUGAUUCAUUUAUUAAUUUAAUUAGCAUUUACUAUGAGCCAGGCAGUGUACAAAGACCUGGGGAUACAAAAAGAGAUAAAAGAUAGCCCCUGCCCUUGAGGAGCUUACAUUCUAAUAAGAGAGGCAACAUCCAAACAAACAAAUACAAAGCAAACUAUAUAGAAAAUAAAUAGGAAAUAAUUGCAAGAGAGAAAGCACUGUAAUCAAGAGGGGUUAAGGAAGUCUUCCUUUAGAGGGUGGGAUUUUAGUUGGAACUUAAAGGAAAUCAGGAAGGUCAGUUGUUAGAGUGGAGGAGGGAGAGUAUUCCAGGCAUGAGGGACAGUUAGAAAGAAUGCUGGGAGCUGAAAGAUGGAGUGUCUUGCUUUUAAAACAGCUAGGAGGCCAGUGCAGUUGGGUCAAAGAGUACAUGUUGGAGAGUAAGGUUUAAGACCAGCAAGCCUGGGAACGGUGGCCUUCAGCUGUCUCCUGCUACUUUUAUAACCAUCUGUUGCCACCUGCUGGCCAUUGUGUUGUGAUGCCAACUGCUAAGAACAGGAUAGCUGUCCCCAAAGUAUUUAUUUCCAUGCUUUAAGGAUCUGCGAUUUUAUCAUACUUGGGUACCAUCUUCUGCAUAAAGCCUUUCCUGAUCCCCUCAA